AGCAAAAGAAGGAAAGAAGGAAACUAGAGUUAGUAUUAUUACAUGGGGAGGGCAAAGGGCAAAGGCCAUGAUUGAGAUAAUUGGCCUCCUGACACAAUGUCAUGAUUGAAACUUACACACACGCCACUCCCCUUUUCUCUCUUCUUUCUAUAUAAUCUCCCACGCACUCUCCUCCGAAUCCACCAUCCCCAUAACUCUUGCUUCCUCUCUCAAUCCAACCCCUGGAUACCUCGGCUUUGCUCUCUUUCUUUCUUGGCUUGGCUAUCUAAACGCACAAAUAACAACUUCUUCAAACAUAUGCCUAUACUUUUAAAUCAUUUGCCAUAGCUAGGCUCUAGCUGUGCCUUUAAUUACUUGUUGUUGGCAAACCUUAGGAAGAUGAUGGUUGAUAAAGAAGAUUUGGGUUUGAGCUUAAGCUUGAGUUUUCCUCAAAAUUACAAUUCUUUGCAGCUUAAUCUCAUGCCUUCACUUGUCCCAUCUUCUGUUAUUUCUCAAAAACCCUCAUGGAAUGAUACCUUCCAUUCUUCAGGUAUUAUUUUUUUUUUCCUUUUUUUUGUUUAUUUUUUUCCUUCGUUUCUGUUUUUCUGGGGGUUCCAGAUCUACAUGGCACCAAGUUUCAGAUCUACUUUUGGUUUUACCUUCAAUAAACCCUUUUCACCUUCUCUCUGGUUUUUCACACUUUCCCUUGAAACAAACAGAGUGUAAAGCUUUUUAUAUUUAAAAAUUGCUUUCUUUUGUUCUUUCUUUUUAAACAACUUAAAAUAAGCUCUCUUUUUUCUCUUUGCUUUUCCCAUGUUAGAUAUCUUCUACAAUUUAAAUCUGGCCUUUUGUAAAUCGUUUUCAAUUCACCUUUAUUUCUUUAUACACAAAACCUCUUUAUGUUCUCUAGAUCCACGCCUCGAAAAUUCCACUGCCGUUUUUGCUGACCCAUCUUCGCAUGCAGAUCCAAAUUCUGAUUCGUGCCGCGCCGAUACGAGGUCAUUCCUGCGAGGAAUCGAUGUGAACAGGCUGCCUUCAACAGCCGACUGCGAAGAGGAAGCGGGUGUCUCAUCCCCGAACAGCACUAUAUCGAGUGUAAGCGGAAAGAGAAGCGAAAGGGAAGGGAAUGGAGAGGAACACGAAAUGGAGAGAGAUUGUUCUCGUGGAAUCAGUGAUGAGGAAGAUGGCGAUACCUCAAGAAAGAAGCUCAGGCUCUCUAAAGAUCAGUCUGCUAUUCUUGAAGAGAGCUUCAAGGAACACAACACUCUCAACCCAGUAAGUCUUUUAUUUUUUCUCUUCUUUUCUUUUCUUUUGGUAAAGACGAGUUCAUGUUUGUUUGUUUGCCCGACUCCAGUGGGUCAAAAGUUUAAGAGAGUUUUCAGCGUUUUCUUAGCAACCAAACAGUGAAACAGAAAUCUUGAUAAUAAAACUAACGGAUGUAUGGUUUUGCCUUGUACAGAAGCAAAAGUUGGCAUUGGCCAAGCAGCUGGGCCUGAGACCCAGACAAGUAGAGGUGUGGUUUCAGAACAGAAGGGCA
rnacentral:misc_RNA from 1 species